ACGAGAACGCUGGCGGCGUGCCUAACACAUGCAAGUCGAGCGGAGAUGAUGUGAGGAAGUUUUCGGAUGGAAUCACAUUAUUUUAGCGGCGGACGGGUGAGUAACGCGUGAGCGACCAACCUUGCACAGGGGGAUAACGGACCGAAAGGUUCACUAAUACCGCAUGAGACCACGGUGUUGCAUGACACAGAGGUCAAAGGAGCAAUCCGGUGCAAGACGGGCUCGCGUCCGAUUAGGUAGUUGGAGGGGUAACGGCCCACCAAGCCUAUGAUCGGUAGCCGACCUGAGAGGGUGAUCGGCCACAUUGGAACUGAGAUACGGUCCAAACUCCUACGGGAGGCAGCAGGUGGGGAAUAUUGGGCAAUGGGGGAAACCCUGACCCAGCAACGCCGCGUGAAGGAAGAAGGUUUUCGGAUUGUAAACUUCUGUCCUUGGUGAAGAGAAGAAGACGGUAGCCAAGGAGGAAGCCCCGGCUAACUACGUG
rnacentral:rRNA from 1 species